rnacentral:tRNA from 1 species
GGGAUUGUGGCUCAGUGGUGGAGUGCUUGCCUAGAAUGCAUGAGGCACUAGGUUUGAUUCUUGGCACCA